AGCGGUGAGUAACACGUGGGUAACCUGCCCAUAAGACUGGGAUAACUCCGGGAAACCGGGGCUAAUACCGGAUAACAUUUUGAACCGCAUGGUUCGAAAUUGAAAGGCGGCUUCGGCUGUCACUUAUGGAUGGACCCGCGUCGCAUUAGCUAGUUGGUGAGGUAACGGCUCACCAAGGCAACGAUGCGUAGCCGACCUGAGAGGGUGAUCGGCCACACUGGGACUGAGACACGGCCCAGACUCCUACGGGAGGCAGCAGUAGGGAAUCUUCCGCAAUGGACGAAAGUCUGACGGAGCAACGCCGCGUGAGUGAUGAAGGCUUUCGGGUCGUAAAACUCUGUUGUUAGGGAAGAACAAGUGCUAGUUGAAUAAGCUGGCACCUUGACGGUACCUAACCAGAAAGCCACGGCUAACUACGUGCCAGCAGCCGCGGUAAUACGUAGGUGGCAAGCGUUAUCCGGAAUUAUUGGGCGUAAAGCGCGCGCAGGUGGUUUCUUAAGUCUGAUGUGAAAGCCCACGGCUCACCGUGGAGGGUCAUUGGAAACUGGGAGACUUGAGUGCAGAAGAGGAAAGUGGAAUUCCAUGUGUAGCGGUGAAAUGCGUAGAGAUAUGGAGGAACACCAGUGGCGAAAGCGACUUUCUGGUCUGUAACUGACACUGAGGCGCGAAAGCGUGGGGGAGCAAACAGGAUUAGAUACCCUGGUAGUCCACGCCGUAACGAUGAGUGCUAAGUGUUAGAGGGUUUCCGCCCUUUAGUGCUGAAGUUAACGCAUUAAGCACUCCGCCUGGGGAGUACGGCCGCAAGGCUGAAACUCAAGGAAUUGACGGGGGCCGCACAAGCGGUGGAGCAUGGUGGUUUAAUUCGAAGCAACGCGAAGAACCUUACCAGGUCUGACAUCCUCUGAAACCCUAGAGAUAGGGCUCUCUCGGGAGCAGAGUGAACAGGUGUGCAUGAUGUCGUCAGCUCCGUGUCGUGAAAUGUGGUAGUCCGCACGGAGCGCAUCUGAAUCCUAGUUGCAUCAUAGUGGGUCACUCUAAGUGACUGCCGUGACACCGAGGACGUGGGCAUGACGUCAUCAUCAUGCUAUGACUGGCUACACGUGUCUCAAUGACGUACAAGCUUCAGAACG
rnacentral:rRNA from 1 species